rnacentral:misc_RNA from 1 species
CACUACCGUUAAUUUAUGCUGCGGCUAAGUUAUAUUUUCUUAUCUAUUUUAGCUGGGACUUGGUUUUUGUUUCAAAACUCAUUAGUGUUUUUUUAUUUUUUCGGUAGCUUUGGAUCUUUGAUUCAGUAUAUUAGCCUCGAUCGAGGUAAUUUUUAUGUUCAUUUUUAGCAUUUUUGCAAUUUUUGUUGUGGUAACUUUGUUCCUUUCCAUAAAGUUUAUAAUAUGCAUUCAUUUUGAAUCUUUAUUUUUUCGAGUUUUGCGAUUUGAAUUUGGAAUUGAAAAUUUUUUUAAUGGAUUCUGUUUAAUUUUGGUGCAACUUUUUGUGAUUUUGUGAGUUCUGGUGAUGUGGGUUUUUUGCAGGAUUUGAUUGAGGCUAAUUUAUAGUGAUUUUCAUUUGGGUUUUAGCUGACAGUGCAAGGAUGCUGAAAUUUUAUAAGUUUUUUGAGCUGUAUUUGGUGGUGGAAGUUUGAUUUCUUGAUUGUUUAGCUUUAAAUGGAGUUACUUAUUUUGAAAUGGAUCUAACACUGCCGCUUGUUUGGUGCAGAGAUUCAUGCGACGACCAUUAAG